rnacentral:siRNA from 1 species
GGAUCAACCAGGUAGCAUUCAUC